rnacentral:pre_miRNA from 1 species
GCUUAAGGAUGAGAAAAGAAAGUGGUUUCUUGAGAUAGAAUCUGCUCUUGAUGAAGAUGACGUGAGUA